GACAGAGGGUGCGAACGUUGUUCGGAAUUACUGGGCGUAAAGCGCGUGUAGGCGGCCGCGCAAGUCGGGCGUGAAAUCCCACGGCUCAACCGUGGAAGUGCACUCGAAACUGCGCAGCUAGAGUCCUGGAGAGGAAGGUGGAAUGCUUGGUGUAGAGGUGAAAUUCGUAGAUAUCAAGCGGAACACCGGUGGCGAAGGCGACCUUCUGGACAGUGACUGACGCUGAGACGCGAAAGCGUGGGGAGCAAACAGG
rnacentral:rRNA from 1 species